UGGUUGUAUAUAAAUUUAUUUUUUAUAUAGGUUUCUUCAAAGAAUUGAUGGUAAGGUAGCUGCGGAACCGUAGCUCUUAGGUCUUUAUAAUAUAUCAUAAGGACCUAAUUAAGAGCUAUGGUUCCGCACCUAAUAGUAAGAUUGGUUGAUUUAUUUCAUUUCAUAUUUUUUCAUGUGUAUAUGGUUGUAUAUAUAUUUAUUUUUUGAAUAGGUUUCUUCAAAGAAUUGAUGGUAAGGUAGCUGUGGAACCGUAGCUCUUAGGUCUUUAUAAUAUAUCAUAAGGACCUAAUUAAGAGCUAUGGUUCCACACCUAAUAGUAAGAUUGGUCGAUUUAUUUCAUUUUAUAUAUUUUCAUGUAUAUUGUUGUUUAUAUAUUUAUUUUUUAUAUAGGUUUCUUGAAAGAAUUGAUGGUAAGGUAGCUGUGGAACCGUAGCUCUUAAGUCUUUAUAAUAUAUCAUAAGGACCUAAUUAAGAGCUAUGGUUCCGCACCUAAUAGUAAGAUAGGUUGAUUUAUUUCAUUUGAUAUAUUUUCAUGUAUAUGGUUGUAUAUAUAUUUAUUUUUUAUAUAGGGUUCUUCAAAGAAUUGAUGGUAAGGUAGCUGCCGAACCUUAGCUCUUAGGUCUUUAUAAUAUAUCAUAAGGACCUAAUUAAGAGCUAUGGUUCCGUAUUUAAUAGUAAGAUUGGUUGAUUUAUUUCAAUUUAUAUAUUUUCAUGUGUAUAUUGUUGUAUAUAUAUUUAUUUUUUAUAUAGGUUUCUUCAAAGAAUUGAUGGUAAGGUAGCUGCGGAACUGUAGCUCUUAAGUCUCUAUGAUAUUUUUUGACUAUUUGAGGACCAUCUAUGUUCAAUAAAAUAAAUUUGUAAUAAAAUCUAUGUUCCGCAAAAUAAAUUUGACCCCUGUUAUAUAUAACACGGUAGUUUCUUACUUUCCAUUUUGGUCAGAUUCUUUUAAUCAUAUGCAUUUGCUUUGCAAAUGAAUGUUUUUCAUUGGAUAAUUUAACAGUUUUUCCUAUUUUAUUAUAUUUUAUGAUAAAUUGGAGUUCAAACUUGUGUAUCGUUACUUUUGUUGACUAGUAUAUUUAUAUUUCAUUUCAGAGUUCACUCACAGAUGUUUAAUUUGUAAUUUUGGAUUUUUGCAGAUUCAGCUUAGAGAGGAUGUUUCAGUUGUCGACCUUGAAUAUGGCUAACAGACCUGGAAGAGUGGCAUAUAGAUUUCCGUAACUCUAUACUCUAUAUAUUUUAUUUUUAUCACAGAUGAAGCUAAAUCUACUGUAACCUUUCUGUGACAUGAUUUUCAUGGUGUUGGAUUAUAAAACUUUGGGGUCUAAUACAUCUAAAAGGAAGGUUAACAUCACAGCUUGUCUGUAAGGAUUGAGGUUGGGAAUGGCCAUUGGAGCUGACUUUUAUGGUAACUUUAACUGUGGCUGCAUGAAAAUGAUUGGGUGACUGUACCAGUAAAGAAUGUAAUUCAGACAAUUUUUGUGUAUGUUUGAGAAAAUGUUUAUAAUUUUUUACAAAAAAAAAAAAAUAGUGUAAAGAUUCUCCAUUUUCAACAAGAUUGUAAGUUAUAGAUAACUUAUUUUGAAUUUUAAAAUCCCUCUUUUAACCAUUAAAACCAAAGGAUAUAUUCAGGUAGCUCUACUCAUGUCCAUUCUUGACAAUUUUUUUAUCAUGCAUAUUGAUACUGAACUGGUUUUUGGUAUGUAUAGUUUUGUUUUGUGUUCAUAGUUCAGAUUGUAUUCAUUAUUUUUUUUCCCCUGUGGCUAGAUUUAAUUGGUACUUUGAAAAUGAAUUGAAAUGGACCAAUUUUAUUUGAAGACCUACUCUUUUAGAUAUAUUAAUAAUGGUCCGUGUCUAGUCAAAACACUUCCAGAAGUUAAGAAUGGAGAAUCUAAAAAAAAAAAGAAAAAAAUGAGAAAUGUAUAUUUUGGCUUUCACCAUUGUUAAAUAUAUAUCUUUUCCGACUUUUUUCGUUUUUUUUAUGCCCCUGCCAUAGGGAAAGGAGGCAUUAAGUGUUACCCUUGGCGUCCUUCUGUCCUUUUGUUGUUCCUUUUGUCCCAUUUUUGUUUCCGCACUAACUUUUAAGAGUAAUGCCCCUUUAUCAGUUGGAAAGUUGCAAAUUUGGACAGUGAGUCACUUACUUUUCUAGAUUUAUGCUCCUUUUUACAAUUUUUAAAAUUGCAAAGCUUGAGCAAGGGCAUCGUGUCCUCAGACACAUUCUUCUUUUAUUUUUUAGCUGAGUUUGAUAUAAUUUAUAUUUUUAUCAAUUGUUUUAUUCUGAAUAAUUAUACAUUUUUUUAUACUGUCUAAAGUAUACUUCCUGAGACAGUCUUCAGAGCAUUAGGUUUUGGACUCAGGUUUCCAACAUUUUCCCACUACAAAUUCAGUUUUUAAAGAAGUUUGAUCAAGUUCACUCGUUUUAGUUGGUUGUCAUUGUUGUUCCUGGCAGGGAGAUUGAUGAUGAUAGAGAUUUUGUCAUUAUUUGGUAUUUAACUUAAAAUACAGCAUAGAAGCAUUUCAUCCAUUAUAAUUUUAUGAUUAUCUUUUAUGUAUAUAUGCUUACAAUUUGUAUACAUGGAUAUUGUUUUAAAAAUCAUUAAAAUCUGGUGUCCAGAUGAGCUGUCUGGGUUAUCAGCAACAUGAA